AUACGUAGGUGACAAGCGUUAUCCGGAUUUACUGGGCGUAAAGGGCGUGUAGGCGGUCUUGCAAGUCAGAAGUGAAAUUCCUGAGCUCAACUCGGGCGCUGCUUCUGAAACUGCAGGACUUGAGUGCUGGAGGGGAUAGCGGAAUUCCUAGUGGAGCGGUAAAAUGCGCAGAUAUUAGGAAGAACACCGGUGGCGAAGGCGGCUAUCUGGGCAGUAACUGACGCUGAGGCGCGAAAGCGUGGGGAGCAAACAGGAUUAGAUCCCCUGGUAGUCCACGCCUUAAACGAUGAAUACUAGGUGUAGGGGGUAUCGACUCCCUCUGUGCCGCAGUUAACACAAUAAGUAUUCCGCCUGGGGAGUACGGUCGCAAGGUUGAAACUCAAAGGAGUUGACGGGG
rnacentral:rRNA from 1 species